AACGAACGCUGGCGGCAUGCCUAACACAUGCAAGUCGAACGAAGGCUUCGGCCUUAGUGGCGCACGGGUGCGUAACGCGUGGGAAUCUGCCCUUGGGUUCGGAAUAACUCAGAGAAAUUUGAGCUAAUACCGGAUGAUGACGUAAGUCCAAAGAUUUAUCGCCCAAGGAUGAGCCCGCGUAAGAUUAGCUAGUUGGUGGGGUAAAGGCCUACCAAGGCGACGAUCUUUAGCUGGUCUGAGAGGAUGAUCAGCCACACUGGGACUGAGACACGGCCCAGACUCCUACGGGAGGCAGCAGUGGGGAAUAUUGGACAAUGGGCGAAAGCCUGAUCCAGCAAUGCCGCGUGAGUGAUGAAGGCCUUAGGGUUGUAAAGCUCUUUUACCAGGGACGAUAAUGACAGUACCUGGAGAAUAAGCUCCGGCUAACUCCGUGCCAGCAGCCGCGGUAAUGUACAGUGU
rnacentral:rRNA from 1 species